AGGAUGAACGCUGGCGGUCUGCUUAACACAUGCAAGUCGAACGGGCGUAGCAAUACGUUAGUGGCGGACGGGUGAGUAACGCGUGAGAAUCUACCUUCAGGACGGAGACAACAGUUGGAAACGACUGCUAACCCCCGAUGUACUGAAAAGGCAAAUAUUUAUAGCCUGAAGAAGAGCUCGCGUCCGAUUAGCUAGUUGGAGAGGUAAAAGCUCACCAAGGCGACGAUCGGUAGCUGGUCUGAGAGGACGAUCAGCCACACUGGGACUGAGACACGGCCCAGACUCCUACGGGAGGCAGCAGUGGGGAAUUUUCCGCAAUGGGCGAAAGCCUGACGGAGCAAGACCGCGUGGGGGAAGAAGGCUCUUGGGUUGUAAACCCCUUUUUCUCUGGGAAGAAGUUGUGAAAGCAGCCUGACGGUACCAGAGGAAUCAGCAUCGGCUAACUCCGUGCCAGCAGCCGC
rnacentral:rRNA from 1 species